UGGCUUUUACACGAAGUGCAUGUGUCAGACACUUCCGAAUAACAUCCCCUCAGCGUGUUGCAUACUAUGCGUAAUGCGAGAUGAGAAGUGCACCAGGUAGGAAACGGCUUUGGCGCACGAAUGAAGCAAAAAAUCCAAAAUUGUGUUUCCUAACUAGGGCGACUCUCGAGGCGGGGCCAGCUGAUUCCUAAUUACGUUGCCGUGUGUUACGCAUCACCACCAGAAGGAAGGACAAAUAUUCUUCCAAGCCGCACGCGCUCUGGAUGCAAUCUAGACGUGGAAUCGGGUGUAGAUGGAGAGCCGCGCGGGCCCUUAACGGUGCUUGAUCACUUAAGUCUCCGUCCUCCAUGCAGCAAUUGCUGGUUGAAGGUGCUGAAGGAGAAUUCUCACCAUUCCGUUGCCCUUGUUUAGCCGCUUUCCGUUGCUUUUGAAACGCGAACCGAAGUAGGCGCAGGCACCAGCGAGCUUCCCGCUGACUCAGCCCUUUUCAAAUCGGAAUUGCAUUGUUGCAGCAUCGACGUGGCAUGUCUGCCGCAGCAUCUUAUCUGUAUGUCCAAUAACCCUUCGUUGGACAAGCCUUAUUAGAUCAACAUGUUGACAAAAAAAGGCGGCGAGCAGUAAGUUCCGAGCAACAGCCAAUCGAUGACGAAACCCCGGUAUUGUACGUCACAUUCUCGUCAGCGUACCAUAGGCCGUCAGACAAUUGAGGAGCGGGAUUGGAACCAAACGUUGGCAAGGAUGUCGAUGAAGGAAUUAUUACGUGCUAUGCUGCUGGGUGCAGGCCGCGAAGGCGUCAAUGGUUCUUGAGUGUAGUAUGACUCAGAGGACGCUUCAGGCAACGGUAAAGCGCGUGCCACUUGUGUGCGGCACGUUUGGCGCAAUACGAGGCAUAAUUUGUCUGUAUCCUGGAAGGAAUAUGGG
rnacentral:lncRNA from 1 species